rnacentral:lncRNA from 1 species
GGCCCCAAAAAUGAAGACGGAGGCCCCGAAAAUGAGGAUGGAGGACAAAAAGAGGAGGAAGAAGGCCAAAAAGAAGAGGAUGGAGGCCAAAAAGAGGAUGAAGGCCCCAAAAAUGAGGAUGAGGGCCCCGAAAAUGAAGAGGGGGGCCCCAAAAAUGAGGAUGAAGGCCCCAAAAAUGAGGAUGAAGGCCCCAAAAAUGAAGAGGAAGGCCAAGAAGAGGAGGAUGGAGGCCCCAAAAAUGGGGAUGAAGGCCCCGAAAAUGAGGAUGAGGACCCCGAAAAUGAGGAUGGGGGCCCUGAGGAGGAGGAAGAGGAGGAGGAGGAGGAGGAGGAAGAGGAUGGUGAGGAGGAGGA